rnacentral:rRNA from 1 species
UACGGAGGGGGCUAGCGUUGUUCGGAAUUACUGGGCGUAAAGCGCACGUAGGCGGCUUUGCAAGUUAGAGGUGAAAGCCCGGGGCUCAACUCCGGAAUUGCCUUUAAAACUGCAUCGCUAGAAUUGUGGAGAGGUAAGUGGAAUUCCGAGUGUAGAGGUGAAAUUCGAUAGAUAUUCGGAAGAACACCAGUGGCGAAGGCGACUUACUGGACACAUAUUGACGCUGAGGUGCGAAAGCGUGGGGAGCAAACAGGG